AAGUCGUAACAAGGUAACCGUAGGUGAACCUGCGGUUGGAUCAUUAUUAAACUUGGUCUUUGUACCAACGCCUUGUGUGCACCAUAUCUGUCUUUGGCAGCUCGAGCGUUUUCAAAAGCGUCAUUGUGACUUUUUGGAUUCCUACCGUGCCCUGCAGCCCGUUUUGGGCGGCAAUGGGUUGAAUGCGGUUGGGUUGCCGACGGUUUUUUCAAUUUGAAAACCGACUUUUUUUUUAAUGUACACCACGUGAAUUUUUUCUUUUGCACUGCAGUAUUGAUUUCAAUCACUUUGGUGGUUCAAGUUAAUAUGUUUGAAACAACUUUUGACAACGGAUCUCUUGGCUCUC
rnacentral:misc_RNA from 1 species